AGCGCCAGUGCAGGCAUCCGGCGGUUUGGCUGUGUGAACCAGAUGGUUUACAUUUGAAAAUGUUCUGUUUCAAGGCUGGUUUGAGCUGGCUCUUCAAGCAGAAAAGUCCCGCCUGGUAGAAGAGACAUCUGCACAAACUCCUGGUGUUGUGCCCAGAUUUCGGAACCCCAAAAGAACCCAUCAACAAGGAGACGACUCACCGAAUGCAAGGACAAAGGUUUCUUUAUUGACUCGAGGAUACAAGCUGCAGCAAGGACCCCAUUCGUUUGGGAACAAAUGGAGCCCCCACUUUCGACUGAGGGGUGUUUUAUAAGAGAAAAUUGUAGGGCUGGAAGCCCCAAGAUUACAGAACUUCGUGGUUACACAGGACAGGGCAAUGGUUGUAUGCUUCAGGCAAGGUACAAUUAAGAAGGAUGCUGCAGAGGAAAUGAGUUUGUUAAUUAUCUCCUGGGCUGGGGACUUCUACAAUUGAUAACUAUCUGAUUCUCUUUGGACCAGAGGAAUGUCGACACCACUCUAGGGUCUGGUCUAAGGGCUUGAGUCCUGUGGACCUUUGUUUAACCUUGUCUGCUGAGUUGCCUUUUGGGAACUCAGAGUUUUCUAUUUGGGCUUUGGAGUCUGGGUUUUAGAC
rnacentral:lncRNA from 1 species